rnacentral:rRNA from 1 species
AUGCCGCUCGUUGGAGACCCAUCGUUGCGCCCUGAGGAGGGGCAUGUGGUCAUCACCUCCACCCAGGCCAUGGAAGACAGCGCCGUCAACCUCUCCACCCUGGGUGCGCUGGUGUGGCUUGGAGGGAGUCGACCACGCAUCAACGCCGAGGAGGUCAGGAACGCCAUCGCCACCAAAUUCGUCAUCAACCGCAACUUCAUCAAGGUGGUGCCGCACUAUCCAGAGGAUUUCUUCGUCCUCUUCUCCCACCAGCACCACCGCGACCUAGUCACCGCCUCGCCGGGCCGCUUCAACCACGGCGGGCUGGACUUCCACACCGCCAAAUGGAGGCCGGAGGCACACGCUGAUCUGGUGGAGGCGUACUACCAUGUUCACCUGUGCAUUGAAAAUCUGCCGCUCAACGCAUGGUGCGACGAGGUGGCAACCCAAGUGCUCGGCCCCGACACUUUCCUGCACUACUUCGACAUCGCCACAGUCAAGAGAGAUGACGCCUCCUCCCUCGACCUCUGGGCAUGGUCUGCCAACCCCUCCGCCAUCCCCAAGGUUCUCCGGCUGACGAUCACUAACAACCAGCCGGCGGGCUACAGCAACGGCCCAAGCGCUGCCGUUGGCCGGCGUGGGCUCAAGCGGCGCGUCCUGGUUCACCUCAACCUGGUUGAGGAUUUCACCCCCGACGCCAAUGGCAACAUCCCCCGCCGGCCUCGUUCCUCGCAUCCGUUCACCUUUCGCUAUGGGGUCAUCGAUGGUGAAUCCAGGAUGCGGGACAGAAUGGAGGUAGCUGGGAGACGUCACGACAGCCACGACCGCGACCACGACAGGGAUCGCGACCACGACCGCGACAGAAGAGACGACGACCGUGCCCGUGGCCGCCGUGGGCGCGAGGAGCGCCCUUCCUCCUGGCGAGAGCGCUUCUUCCGGAGCAGGUCUCGCGCCCCUGAGCGUCGCCAUGACGAUGGGCGCCGAGACAGCAGAGAGGACCGCCGGGACGACCGUAGCUGUCAAGGGCGACGUCGCCGUCACGAGGCCCCUGACGCGCGCUCCAUCGACAACAAGCUGGUCCAGCGCCUCCCGGACGGCGCCGUCAUCCCAGCCUCUGGUAGACGCGGCCGUCGCCGCCCUGCGGACUGCCCGACACGCCCUGGGCGCUCUGGGGGGAGGCUGCUAGCCCGGUCAACGAAGACACCCGUGGCCGCUCGCCCCCUUCCUCGCCACGCUCGACCUCCUGUGAUGUGA